UGGGCCCUGCAAUGAACUGAUCUCUACUUU
rnacentral:piRNA from 1 species